rnacentral:rRNA from 1 species
GAUGAACGCUGGCGGCGUGCCUAAUACAUGCAAGUCGAGCGAACAGAUAAGGAGCUUGCUCCUUUGAAGUUAGCGGCGGACGGGUGAGUAACACGUGGGUAACCUACCUAUAAGACUGGGAUAACUUCGGGAAACCGGAGCUAAUACCGGAUAACAUUUAGAACCGCAUGGUUCUAAAGUGAAAGAUGGUUUUGCUAUCACUUAUAGAUGGACCCGCGCCGUAUUAGCUAGUUGGUAAGGUAACGGCUUACCAAGGCGACGAUACGUAGCCGACCUGAGAGGGUGAUCGGCCACACUGGAACUGAGACACGGUCCAGACUCCUACGGGAGGCAGCAGUAGGGAAUCUUCCGCAAUGAGCGAAAGCCUGACGGAGCAACGCCGCGUGAGUGAUGAAGGGUUUCGGCUCGUAAAACUCUGUUAUUAGGGAAGAACAAAUGUGUAAGUAACUGUGCACAUCUUGACGGUACCUAAUCAGAAAGCCACGGCUAACUACGUG